rnacentral:lncRNA from 1 species
GAAAGUCCCUUUCGUUUAAUGAAUUGUGGACAAACUAUACAUGCGACCCCCUAUAAAUAGCUGCAGAAAGUUAGCAUACUGCCGGGGCAACUAACUUAUAACACCAAAGUUGUGCUCAACCGAUAAACUCGCCGGUAUUUUUGAAAAAACGGAGAAAAUGAUAAGACUCAAUAACGUUAGCGGAGGUGUCAUUUUGUUAGCGUAAUCGUAAACACGCACACCUUAGGUUGACAGACGUUGCGGCCAUAAUAUUUGGGCCACCUAUAAAAAAUUGAUAUCGACUUGUAGCACAGGAACAGGGCAACAAAUUCAUACCCGUAGAUGUAUGCUUUGUUGUAACAACUUCC